GUGCCAGCAGCCGCGGUAAUUCCAGCUCCAAUAGCGUAUAUUAAAGUUGUUGCAGUUAAAAAGCUCGUAGUUGAAACUUGGGCCUGGCUGGCGGGUCCGCCUCACCGCGUGCACUCGUCCGGCCGGGCCUUCCUUCUGAAGAACCUCAUGCCCUUCACUGGGCGUGCUGGGGAAUCAGGACUUUUACUUUGAAAAAAUUAGAGUGUUCAAAGCAGGCCUUUACUCGAAUACGUUAGCAUGGAAUAAUAAAAUAGGGCGUGCGUUUCUAUUUUGUUGGUUUCUAGAGACGCCGCAAUGAUUAACAGGAACAGUCGGGGGCAUCAGUAUUCAGUUGUCAGAGGUGAAAUUCUUGGAUUUACUGAAGACUAACUACUGCGAAAGCAUUUUGCCAAGGAUGUUUUCAUUAAUCAGUGAACGAAAGUUAGGGGAUCGAAGACGAUCAGAUACCGUCGUAGUCUUAACCGUAAACUAUGCCGACUAGGGAUCGGGCGAUGUUCUUUUUCUGACUCGCUCGGCACCUUACGAGAAAUCAAAGUUUUUGGGUUCUGGGGGGAUUAUGGUCGCAAGGCUGAAACUUAAAGAAAUUGACGGAAGGUCACCACCAGGCGUGGAGCCUGCGGCUUAAUUUGACUCAACACGGGGAAACUCACCAGGUCCAGAUGAAAUAAGGGAUUGACAGAUUGAGAGCUCUUUCUUGAUUUUUCAGGUGGUGGUGCAUGACCGUCUAGUCGUGGGUGACUUGUCUGCUAUGCGAUAACGAGCGAGACCUACUCUGCU
rnacentral:rRNA from 1 species